UGGGAAUUGAAUCCAGGACUUCUGGAAGAGGA
rnacentral:piRNA from 1 species